GCUCAGUAACACGUGGAUAAUCUGCCCUAUGGUGGAGGAUAACCCCGGGAAACUGGGGAUAAUACUCCAUAAGUCAGGAGUACUGGAAUGUCUCCUAACUGAAAGUUGCGGCGCCAUAGGAUGAAUCUGCGGCCGAUUAGGUAGUUGUUGGGGUAACGGCCCAACAAGCCCGUAAUCGGUACGGGUUGUGGGAGCAAGAGCCCGGAGAUGGAAUCUGAGACACGAUUCCAGGCCCUACGGGGCGCAGCAGGCGCGAAAACUUUACAAUGCAGGAAACUGUGAUAAGGGAACCCCGAGUGCCCGUACACGCGGGCUGUCCCGGUGUUUAAAACACAUCGGAAGAAAGGGCCGGGCAAGACCGGUGCCAGCCGCCGCGGUAAUACCGGCGGCUCGAGUGGUGACCACUUUUAUUGGGCUUAAAGCGUUCGUAGCUUGAUUUUUAAGUCUCUUGGGAAAUCUCACGGCUUAACUGUGAGGCGUCUAAGAGAUACUGGGAAUCUAGGGACCGGGAGAGGUAAGAGGUACUUCAGGGGUAGAAGUGAAAUUCUGUAAUCCUUGAGGGACCACCGAUGGCGAAGGCAUCUUACCAGAACGGCUUCGACAGUGAGGAACGAAAGCUGGGGGAGCGAACGGGAUUAGAUACCCCGGUAGUCCCAGCCGUAAACUAUGCGCGUUAGGUGUGCCUGUAACUACGAGUUACCGGGGUGCCGAAGUGAAAACGUGAAACGUGCCGCCUGGGAAGUACGGUCGCAAGGCUGAAACUUAAAGGAAUUGGCGGGGGAGCACCACAACGGGUGGAGCCUGCGGUUUAAUUGGACUCAACGCCGGGCAGCUCACCGGAUAGGACAGCGGAAUGAUAGCCGGGCUGAAGACCUUGCUUGACCAGCUGAGAGGAGGUGCAUGGCCGUCGUCAGUUCGUACUGUGAAGCAUCCUGUUUAGUCAGGCAACGAGCGAGACCCACGCCAACAGUUGCUAGCAUGUUCUCCGGAAUGAUGAGGACACUGUUGGGACCGCCUCUGCUAAAGAGGAGGAAGGAGUGGACGACGGUA
rnacentral:rRNA from 1 species